GCGGCGGCGGCCCGACCCCGUCUCCUCCAAUCCUCCCGAUCUUGCCGUGGGCAGAUCUGCCUAAUUUGUUGGCGAGCCACGAUGGGUGCACGGCCCAACCACUUCCUCGUCCCGUCGAUUGCUCUCUCUUAUCAGCAUCCUUGGCGCUGCCCUUCCCCGCGAAGAAGCAGAUCGACGGGAGCUCUUGGAUGGCUCGCUCGGUUCACUUGCCGCCUCUUGUGCUGGCACGCUCGGCGAUGCAGCUCCACGGUGCAGGCGUAGCGUUUUUCUGGCCGAGCCGAGCCGCACCGAUGUAGGCUCUCUGAUACGGCUUCACCCGAGCUCCAACGGUGCAGCAGCAGCGGCAAAACAAGACGGAUCAGGCGCAUCCAUGCUCUGGAGCCCGGAGCUGGCGUUCUGCGUCGCCCUUCGAGAACCGCUGGUGAGGCUGUAGCGCCUCAUGUUCGACUUUUAGAGGUCGCGUGGCCGCACGACCGACUCGACGGUGUGCUCUACAGCGAAUGAAUUAUCAUGCUGAGUUUGUGUUGCGGCAGCUACUCUACCAAGUAGCUUGAUGUUUAAUGUAACAGUAAAUUCCAUCUCAUUACACAUGAACAUUCUAGUUACAUUUUGUAAACCUGAUGUAUUUGGUAAUCAUGCUGAGAAUAGAUGAACAAUUUGUAUGUGCGUGAAGUAGUACAUGAUAUUAUUCUUUAGUGGUGGGUUAAUGUAUUCCUUGAUAUUUUUGGAUAUUAUUUAUCCACGUGUUCAUAAAUUGAAACUAAUG